CAUAAAGUGACACUUUGCAUGAGAGUGCUUAUAGUGCUGUGAGUUUAACACUUCAUGACUGACAGCAGAACAGAACACAAUCUUCAUCAUCACACAACACAAAACAACAACAAUGACCUUCAGCAUCAUCUUCAUCUGGACUUUUGCAGUUUUUAUUCAGGAUUCAAGAGGAGUCACUCUGACUCAACCUGAAGUUAAAACUGUUCAACAGGGACAAACAGCUACAAUAGAGUGUCAUAUAGAUGUUGGGAUAUACAGCAGCUACUUAGCCUGGUAUCAGCAGAAACCUGGAGAAACUCCUAAACUCCUGAUUUAUUCUAUAAGUACUCUUCAGUCUGGAACUCCAUCUAGAUUCAGUGGCAGUGGAUCAGCCUAUGGAAGUGAUUUCACUCUGACCAUCAGUGGAGUCCAGACUGAAGAUACAGGAGAUUAUUACUGUCAGAGUAGCACACUACAUCAACAGUAAAUAUGUGUUCACACAGUGAUAAAGAGUCGUACAAAAACCUCCGUCAGUCAGACUGCACAGUGACUGCACUGAUACAACUGACAGAUACUGCAGCUGCUCAUACAACACAAUCACACACAAUACUGAUCAGUGGACAAACAUACUAUGACCUUACAAUAAUAAAUCUUAAUG